CCUAAUAUUGGCUAAGUGGGAAACGAAGUGGGAAGGCAAUGACAGUCAGGAGGUUGGCUUAGAAGCAGCCAUCCUUUAAAGAAAGCGUAAUAGCUCACUGAUCGAGUCGUCCUGCGCGGAAGAUGUAACGGGGCUAAGCCAAUAACCGAAGCUGCGGAUGUGCACUUUGUGCACGUGGUAGGGGAGCGUUCUGUACGCCUGCGAAGGUGUCUCGUAAGGGAUGCUGGAGGUAUCAGAAGUGCGAAUGCUGACAUGAGUAGCGUUAAACAAAGUGAAAAACUUUGCCGCCGAAAGCGCAAGGUUUCCUACGCAACGUUAAUCGACGUAGGGUGAGUCGGCCCCUAAGGCGAGGGUGAAAACCGUAGCUGAUGGGAAGCAGGUUAAUAUUCCUGCACCAUUGUUCAAUGCGAUGGGGGGACGGAGAAGGUUACCUCAGCCGGGUGUUGGAUGUCCCGGUUUAAGCAUGUAGCCGUGCCUGGUAGGCAAAUCCGCCGGGCUUAGGUGAGGUGUGAUGACGAGAGGGCUUGCCCUCGAAGUGAGCGAUACCCAGCUUCCAAGAAAAGCCUCUAAGCUUCAGUUGAACAAGACCGUACCGCAAACCGACACUGGUGCGCGUGCUGAAUAUGCUCAGGCGCUUGAGAGAACUCAGGAGAAGGAACUCGGCAAAUUGAUACCGUAACUUCGGGAGAAGGUAUGCCCUUAGUAGGUGAAGGAGAACAUCCGGAGCCAAAAGGGGUCUCAGAGAAUCGGUGGCUGCGACUGUUUAUCAAAAACACAGCACUCUGCAAACACGUAAGUGGACGUAUAGGGUGUGACGCCUGCCCGGUGCCGGAAGGUUAAUUGAUGGGGUUAUCUUCGGAGAAGCUCUUGAUCGAAGCCCCGGUAAACGGCGGCCGUAACUAUAACGGUCCUAAGGUAGCGAAAUUCCUUGUCGGGUAAGUUCCGACCUGCACGAAUGGCGUAACGAUGGCCACACUGUCUCCACCCGAGACUCAGUGAAAUUGAAAUCGCUGUUAAGAUGCAGUGUACCCGCGGCUAGACGGAAAGACCCCGUGAACCUUUACUAUAGCUUCACACUGGACUUUGACCUUACUUGUGUAGGAUAGCUGGGAGGCUUUGAAGCGCAGACGCCAGUUUGCGUGGAGCCGACCUUGAAAUACCAGCCUGGUAAUGUUGAGGUUCUAACUUAGGUCCCUUAUCGGGAUUGAGGACAGUGUGUGGUGGGUAGUUUGACUGGGGCGGUCUCCUCCCAAAGAGUAACGGAGGAGCACGAAGGUGCGCUAAUCAUGGUCGGAAAUCAUGAGGUUAGUGUAAAGGCACAAGCGCGCUUGACUGAGAGUCUGACAAGACGAUCAGGUACGAAAGUAGGUCUUAGUGAUCCGGUGGUUCUGUAUGGAAGGGCCAUCGCUCAACGGAUAAAAGGUACU
rnacentral:rRNA from 1 species